rnacentral:sRNA from 1 species
CUCGCUCGCUCUCUCUCGCUCUCUCCCUCUCUGAGAAGAACUUGUGAUUGCAAACCAUAGAUAUGACUUUCUAAACACCUUGUUUCCUGCAAAGUCAAGGGAAUUCUGGGAGGGGCAAUCCACAGUCCUAGCUUCCCCUGUCUCCUUGGGGGCUCAGGGUUAGGGGAUUUUGAUCCUCCUUCUUUGGCUCCUCCUCCUACUCUGUAUCUCUUUCCCUUUGGGUUUUGUUCUCAAUCUGCAACUAAUCCCCUUAAAAUGAUAGCUGAUAAAAGGAUUAGCUGAGAGCUCCCUAGGGGUAUUUACAUUGUAGGAAGGGAUUUUAAGGACGGUUGGUGGAAUUUUAAGCCAUUUGACUGGCAGGAUGGAGUGGAGCUACUUCAAAUGAUAUCACACAGCAGAAAGGGGAAAUUAGCAUUCAUUGUGUGCAUAGCAGUGUCCCAGGCACAAUGCCAGAAGCUUCAUAUAAUGCUAGUUUACUUGCUUGGGGAGCUGAUAAGGAAGUUAAGGCCCAGGGAGGUCAAUAAUUGCGGCAACCGCAUAUCUAGGAAGUGGGGGAGUGGGGCUUUUGAACUGUGUGAUUCUGGAGCGUUCUUUCUGACCUAUCCAGAGCUGCUGCAGCAGAUGAGAAGUUUCUUUUGGGCUACAGCACAGCCCUCAUGCCCAAUCUCCCUGUUAGGUGACCUGAGGACCCUGGGUUCACUCUUCCCUACUUGCAGCUGAAUGGUGCCAUCUUCCAUCUGGAAGGCUGUCUGGGUCACCCAGAGUUUAAACACACAUUUUGAGAGUCCAAAAUGAUAAAGUACUCUGAAAAGCCACCGUGACUGGUUAAGGAGCCUCUUCCUUGACUGCCAGUGUGGACAGGAGUGACUCAGCAGUUCCACUUUCAGUCCUGUCUGUCUCAGACACCACUGUUUGCUCAGUCCUGAGAUGAUGGUGGCCUACCCAGCCUGGGUGGAGAAGGAAGUUUUAUUUCUGGAGCAGCUACAGAUAAGGGGUCUUCUAUCCUCUACAAAUAAAAGCCUGCACAUAGAUCCUCACAUGGAUGCCUAUUUAUGGGAAUAAGAAAAAGCCAACCAAGCAAAGGCUAAUCUGGAAACUGUCUUGGGAUACUGAUCUUACAUCGAUGGAUGAUGAGAACUUACUGGAAGCCAGUCCUUGAACUGGGAAUGUAUGUUGGACAAACUUUACCUGGCCUGCAUGCAACCAGCCUCUCUGAGGAGAGGAGAAUCACAUCCCUGUGAGCUAGACAAACAUGGGCCAGUUUUACUCUUGUCUGUUACCUGGAUUUAGACUUCACUUAUAAAUACUAACUUUGGUCGGGGAAGGACUUUCUGUUUUGUGAUGUAGGAACAUGUCGGUGGUAAAUCCUCUGCCUUGAGGAAUUCUAGAACUAUUCACAGGGGUUAAAAGGUCUUAAUAAUCUGGUAGGCUGCUAUCUUGGAAAUAUCUUUCAUUGUUGUGUGGGUCAGAUGGGAUCAGGAUCCUGGCUUUUGUGAAGACUAUCUGUGAAAGGCCAAAAGAAUGUCUUUAUACAGUCUUUGUUACUGGUGCCAUUUUAGCUUUUAUAAACUAACGUGAGUCAGUAACUACAGCAUCAAAUCAAAGCCUAGUAUUUAUAGUGUGGUCUCUUGACCAACUAGUGAAUUAUGUAUGCAUGUAUAUUUGUGUGUAUGCAUGUGUAUGUGUGUAUAUGUACAAGUGUAUACAUAUGUACUUUUAUUUCUCUGGUGCUUGGAACCUUUGCAUGUAUCAAACAAACACUCUUUCACUGAGCUCCUGCCCCCAGCCCAACAUGGCUAUUUCUUUCCUAUUUAUACAGUUAGACCUUUGCAUGGUUUUCCCUAAAUGUUUCCCUUAGUAUCAGUGGAUAUAAAUGACUGCAAACUUUAUGGAAAGCAACGAAGCAAUAAAAGACUUAAAAAUGUGCUGUGCAUAGCUAUGAAUUUCAUUCCAUUCCAUUCCUGGAAAUAUUACACCACAAAGCCACCUGAGAUUUAGAUAGAAAUUUACAUAGAAGAAUAUCCAACAAUCAAAAUUUAGAAUACUUUUCAAAGAAAGAUAUGUUGGCACAUGUAUACAAUCUCAGCACUGAGAAAAUGAGGCAAGGGGAUCAGGAGUUCAAGGCCGGCUUCAGUAAAAUAGUGAGUUCAGGGUAACUGAACUGAGACUUGAGACCCUGAGACCCUGAGAUCCUGUUUCAAAAAGCCUAAACACUGAAAUAAAAUAAACACAAUUAAAAUAAUAGAAUAUAGUUUCAACAACUUUCUGUGAUUUCACUAUCAUUAAAAAAUAAACAAUAAUGUAAAUAUACCAGCAGAUGACUUGAUUUGUAAGAGAUCCUUUAUAAAGCCGAGUAGUUUAUGGUUAUUAAUGGUGUUUCUGGGGCUGGGAGUAUAACUCAGUGGUAGACAUGUCUAAGACCUUGAGUUUAAUCCUGAGCACCCAAAAUUCCUAAAACCCAACUGUUCAACUCCCCAAAAAAUGUUGCUUCAGUGUCUGAGGGUGUGCCUGGGUAGUAGGUGCUUGCCUGGCUCUCGGUUCCAUUCCCAACACACAAGGACAGAACAAAACGAAAGUGAGUUAUCACAUGACACUAACCCUUUCCUCCCCUUUGCUCCCCAAAUCAUGCGAGGCAGUUUUACUUUGCACAGACUAGAAGCCUGGACCAUGGAUUCUGGAAGCAGACCAACAACCCUAGUGCAUCUUUCUUUAGACAGGUUUCACUUACUAUGUAGCCUGGUUGCCUGGAACUCUCUAGAUCAGGCAAGGCUUGAGUUCACAGAGAUUUGCUGUGCUGGGACUAAAGGUGUGUACCAUUAUGCUUGGCUCCCAGCUGCAUUUUACAUUGGUCACAUCACCGUGGUCAAGGCCACAUAUCUUCCUCUGCUUUGGUUUCCUCACUUAAAAAAAAAUAACACUCACCUCAGUGAGUUGUUGUGAGGAUUUAGUGUGUAGGAAGUGCUAAGAACCCUGCCUGGCAUUAGAGUAACCUCCUUAGUGUUGGUUCUUAGUGAUCUUAAUAGUUACCAUGUACCACACUUGAGCAAUCUGCUCUCAAUUGCACAAAA